CGCUCGGGGCGGUCGGCACGCGGCGGGCGCUCAGGGCGCUCGGGUCGAUCCGCGCGCGGCGGGCGCUCGGCGCGCUCGGGGCGGCCA
rnacentral:tRNA from 1 species